GCCGGGCGUUGUGGCGGGCGCCUGUAGUCCCAGCUACUUGGGAGGCGGAGGCAGGAGACUCGCUUGAGCCCAGGAGUUGGAGGUUGCUGUGAGCGUGAUGCCAUGGCACUCUACCCAGGGGGAUAGCUUGAGGCCUAGGACAAUCAAAGACAACCUGAUUCUUAGCUUUCUUUGUUUAAGGUCAAAUGUGUUGAGAGAGGAAUUUUUUUUUUUUUCCUAAAGCCACAGGACACUAAGUUUUGGACUCAUCAUUAAUCUUGUGCAGAAAAAUAUUUUUUUUUUUUUUUGAGACAGAGCCUCAAGCUGCCCCCAUGGGCAGAGUGCCGUGGCAUCACAGCUCACAGCAACCUCCAACUCCUGGGCUCAAAUGAGUCUCCUGCCUC
rnacentral:SRP_RNA from 1 species